rnacentral:rRNA from 1 species
AGAGUUUGAUCCUGGCUCAGAACGAACGCUGGCGGCAUGCCUAACACAUGCAAGUCGAACGAAGGCUUCGGCCUUAGUGGCGCACGGGUGCGUAACGCGUGGGAAUCUGCCCUUAGGUUCGGAAUAACAGCUGGAAACGGCUGCUAAUACCGGAUGAUGACGAAAGUCCAAAGAUUUAUUGCCUGAGGAUGAGCCCGCGUUGGAUUAGGUAGUUGGUGGGGUAAAGGCCUACCAAGCCGACGAUCCAUAGCUGGUCUGAGAGGAUGAUCAGCCACACUGGGACUGAGACACGGCCCAGACUCCUACGGGAGGCAGCAGUGGGGAAUAUUGGACAAUGGGCGAAAGCCUGAUCCAGCAAUGCCGCGUGAGUGAUGAAGGCCCUAGGGUUGUAAAGCUCUUUACCCGGGAAGAUAAUGACUGUACCGGGAGAAUAAGCCCCGGCUAACUCCGUG